rnacentral:rRNA from 1 species
UACAGAGGGUGGCGAGCGUUGUUCGGAAUUAUUGGGCGUAAAGGGCGCGUAGGCGGUGCGGUAAGUCACCUGUGAAAUCUCCUGGCUCAACUGGGAGCUUGCAGGCGAAACUGCCGUGCUGGAGUGUGGGAGAGGUGCGUGGAAUUCCUGGUGUAGCGGUGAAAUGCGUAGAUAUCAGGAGGAACACCUGUGGCGAAAGCGGCGCACUGGACCACAACUGACGCUGAGGCGCGAAAGCGUGGGGAGCGAAACAGG